AGCGAACGCUGGCGGCAGGCCUAACACAUGCAAGUCGAACGAAGUCUUCGGACUUAGUGGCGGACGGGUGAGUAACACGUGGGAACGUGCCUUUAGGUUCGGAAUAACUCAGGGAAACUUGUGCUAAUACCGAAUGUGCCCUUCGGGGGAAAGAUUUAUCGCCUUUAGAGCGGCCCGCGUCUGAUUAGCUAGUUGGUGAGGUAAAGGCUCACCAAGGCGACGAUCAGUAGCUGGUCUGAGAGGAUGAUCAGCCACAUUGGGACUGAGACACGGCCCAAACUCCUACGGGAGGCAGCAGUGGGGAAUCUUGCGCAAUGGGCGAAAGCCUGACGCAGCCAUGCCGCGUGAAUGAUGAAGGUCUUAGGAUUGUAAAAUUCUUUCACCGGGGACGAUAAUGACGGUACCCGGAGAAGAAGCCCCGGCUAACUUCGCGCCAGCCGCCGCGGUAAAAC
rnacentral:rRNA from 1 species